rnacentral:rRNA from 1 species
UACGUAGGGUGCAAGCGUUGUCCGGAAUUAUUGGGCGUAAAGAGCUCGUAGGCGGCCUGUCGCGUCGGCUGUGAAAACCUGGGGCUCAACCCCGGGCCUGCAGCUGAUACGGGCAGGCUAGAAUUCGGUAGGGGAGACUGGAAUUCCUGGUGUAGCGGUGAAAUGCGCAGAUAUCAGGAGGAACACCGGUGGCGAAGGCGGGUCUCUGGGCCGAUAUUGACGCUGAGGAGCGAAAGCGUGGGGAGCAAACAGG